AUACAGAGGGUGCGAGCGUUAAUCGGAAUUACUGGGCGUAAAGCGCGCGUAGGCGGCUUGGUCAGUCGGAUGUGAAAGCCCCGGGCUCAACCUGGGAAUGGCAUUCGAUACUGCCAGGCUAGAGUAUGAGAGAGGGAAGUGGAAUUUCCGGUGUAGCGGUGAAAUGCGUAGAUAUCGGAAAGAACACCAGUGGCGAAGGCGACUUCCUGGCCCAAUACUGACGCUGAGGCGCGAAAGCGUGGGGAGCGAACAGAAUUAGAAACCCUAGUAGUCC
rnacentral:rRNA from 1 species